GGCCCUGAAGGAGAGAGCACCUGAGAGUUAGGGUCAGGGAUCCAGGACAGUAGUACAAGGACACGAAACAGAGGCAGGAUAGAGCAGGGACAGACCUGGCCCUGGCCCGCGUGUCGUUGUAGAUGGCUGUGAUGAUCCGAUCCUUCUCAUCCAUGAAGCUCCGGUGUAUCUGCUCCAACUUCCUGCAAGACCUUUGGUGUUAACCCUGAUACUCCAGUUCCUGCAGUUCCUGAAGCCCUCCUCCACCCUGUUCCACGGUCUCUCUCUGUUUUACGUCUGUGGAAACCUUGCCCCAACAGUGCCUGUGACAGGUGGGGAGAGGGGCACAGAGUGGCAGAGGCCCAUCCAGGAUGCAAUGGAACCCAAGUCUCUGUCCUGCUGAAAGUGGUGAAGCAGCUCUGAACACAGGGAUGCUCUUCCCAGGAUCCUAGAAAGAUUCCCAAGCCGGGCAUGGUGGCACAUGCCUGCCAUCCCAGUUAGAAACACUGAGGCAAGAGGAUCACUGGAGCCCAGGAGUUAAAGGCCAGUCUGAGCAACAUAGGACGACCCCCUCUCAAAAACGACAAAGGUGCUUCUGAAGACCCAUCUCAUUCCUCCAGGAUGGAACCUCCAAAACAGGGCCCAGGAAUCUGCAUCUUUGUAACCAACUUCCCCACCUCUGUGAGUUAUGCUUGACUACCAGUGGAGUUAUGGGAAGAGUAUUGGGGUUUUGUUGGGCUCAAAUUUCUGAUCUCCCAUUUAACUCGCUGAUGACCUUGAGGCUCAUCUCAGUCUCAGAUGAGAUUCUCAAUGUCCUCAACCUGAAAGUGAGGGUUAAGACAAGACUGCAAGGUAUCUAUCUCAGCAAGCAAAGAAGCGCCUAAGCUGGGCAGGCCCUCAACAGAAACCCGCUGAACAACCGAGGGCCCCAGGAGCCCAACUCACCGCUGCCCAGAGGCCGCUGCGAGGAGCCGGGUGGGAGGGCUGCGGGGCCACAGCCGGCACAGGCGCAGGGGCAACAGGGGCAGCAUGGCGGCGGGUGGACAGCUGGGGAAAGGAGCCCACCAAGAGGGGUGCAUUGAGACCAGAUCCGAUCAGAUAUCAAACUCUUCGCGGCUCGGGCAGAGCGAAGGAGCCUGGCCAGGGGUUUCUUGCAAAAGAAGAUCGAGGCAGGCCCGGGGGCGGCCUCCUACCUCAGGGUCAGUCCCCCAUGUCUGGACCCGGCCCUGCCUCCAGGUCUUUCCAGGCUCUGGCUUACAGGUCUGGACCCCCGGAACCACCCAGAGUGAUUGAAGGAAAUUGAGGGAGGAACCACAACCAAGUCCCGCCCUCACUCCACUUACGAACUCCGCAGUCGCCGCCAUUUCCUGCGCCUCCGCGGGUCCCGCCCCCGAGCUCUCAUUGGCUUAGACUCAGACCACGCCCACUUUACCGGAAGGUGCGAGUGUGUGGCUAAACCCCGCCCCCGGCCCCUCGACCGGCUUUCUGCAGCCCGAGCCGCUUAGCGGAGGUCCCCGGAGCUGCCGAAAUGCGCGGGCCCCCAGUCCCGGGCGGCAGGAGGGGCUGAGCCCGACCCUCAACGAGCCUUUUGGCCCAGCCGCAGCCCUUCGGUGCCGCGGAGACGGCUUUGGUCUGCUCAGCAGCGAGGCACGUUUCACAGAGCUGCUUCCACCCCGCGUUGUCUUGGCAUGGGAGGCACAUCUCUCAUCCCCCCUUGCAGGGGGAGAAAACUGAGGCCGAGCUGAUGUGUUUUUGUGUUUGUUUUUCUUUUUUUCCUUUUCUAUGACGCGUUCGGUCUCACCCACCCAGGGCUCUCCCAGCGAACCCUCUGUCAUGGAAACAGCGAAUGCCAAUGGAAUCCAAGAAUAAAGUUCUUUAUUGUCUUCA